UACGAGAGGCCCAAACGUUAUUCGGAUUUACUGGGCUUAAAGAGUUCGUAGGCGGCUUGGAAAGUGGGGUGUGAAAGCCCUCGGCUCAACCGAGGAAUUGCGCUCCAAACUACCGAGCUUGAGGAGGCUAGAGGUGAGCAGAACUGAUGGUGGAGCGGUGAAAUGCGUUGAUAUCAUCAGGAAUACCGGAGGCGAAGGCGGCUCACUGGGACCUUUCUGGCGCUGAGGAACGAAAGCUAGGGGAGCAAACGGG
rnacentral:rRNA from 1 species